rnacentral:rRNA from 1 species
UACAGAGGUCUCAAGCGUUGUUCGGAUUCAUUGGGCGUAAAGGGCGCGUAGGUGGUGAUGCAAGUCUGGUGUGAAAUCUCGGAGCUCAACUCCGAAAUUGCACCGGAUACUGCGUGACUCGAGGACUGUAGAGGAGAUCGGAAUUCACGGUGUAGCAGUGAAAUGCGUAGAUAUCGUGAGGAAGACCAGUUGCGAAGGCGGAUCUCUGGGCAGUUCCUGACACUGAGGCACGAAGGCCAGGGGAGCAAACGGG